CCAGCUUCCUUGCCUCCUGAAUGGGUCAAGUCUGUGGUGUGUUCUACCCGUUUUCCAGAGGUCCCAUGUUUUAAACCCUAGCUGCUCAAGGCAAUUUCCUGAUCAUUGAUGUACUCUCUAUUGGCUAAUUUUUAGAUAAUAUGGAAUAUGCUCAAAAUAGGAUACCCAAAGAAAAAAUCAGAUGCCAAAAUUGUAUACACUGAAUGAGUUCAAUUCUGUAUAAGCGUGGAGAUACACACAUCAAAAGAAAUAUGGAACAAAAGAUACUAAAUGUUUAUAGUGGUUAUUUCUGGGUGUUGAAAUUUUAAGUGAUUUUCCUUUUCUUCUUUGUAAUUGUCUCUAUUUUUCAGUUUUUUCAAUAUACCCUGUAUUUCUUUUAAAAUCAGAACAAACCACCAUAAGUUAUUUUAAAAGGCUUAUAAAGCUGAUGAAUAUUUUGUCUUUGUUUCCUUUGUGUUGCCAUAGUCUGAGGGAGUAGUUCUCAAGUGUAGUCUCUGGACCAGCAGAGCUUUUGUUUUCCAGUGUGUUACAUUAGUUAUUUGUGAAUCUGUCUUCUCCCCCACCAAAUGGAGGCCCUAAAUGCCGUUUUAAGACUGAGCGCAUCUGAUUUGGAACCAAUAGAUCUCCCAGCCAUCCCCAACCUCUUGCCAUUAUUUCCCCUUAUCCCUUAACACUUGAUUGCUUUCUUUCCAUUGAGCUCAUUCU
rnacentral:lncRNA from 1 species